UCCAACAGGCUCCAGUAUAGUAUCAGCAACUACAGCUGGAGGAACUGCAGGACACAGGUUCUGAUGAGUUCUUGAGGGAGCAUAAAGAUAACAGGGAGACUACACAAGGAGGACAUGGAAGUCUCUGACACCUGCAGCUAUAGCAAAUAUUAAACAGCUAAACUCACAGCCAAAUGAACACAAAACCUCACACUAAAGGCCAAUUGCCCAAUACAUCAAGUCUGGCGUUCAAGGCAUACUAAAAGGCAAGAAAGGAAACAACUCAUGGUCUAUGUUGUCUUUAAUAUAGACAUACCUGGUUUUACAUGUUUAUUUUCAAAACUCAAAAACAAUGUCAUCCUAGACUUCACAGGCCAUCUGUUUAAGUCAAGUGUCUCCAAAACAAAAGCACAUUUUUCAAUAGAUACAGUUAUUUAUAAAUUUUCUGCACCUAAUAUAAUAUUUUUCUAAUAGAUCAUAUUCAUCAUAAAUCACACAAAAUUAAAAUGGAUGAGAUAAAAGUUAAUUAUACAUUAUAAAUUGAGUUUCUAACGUUUGUCCUCAACCCCUGAUAGCUAACAUGUAACUUGAAUACAUGCAGCUGGUUGUGGAAUCCACUUGGACAACAGGCAGAAUUCUAGGAUUCUUGUCUUUUGGCAUCCACACUUUGUAUAACAUAAUUUUCUUUCUUUGAAGAAGGGAAGGACCUAUGGUUUGCUUCUCCUCAGUACAAUGUUGUAAAGGAGAUGAAAUUUUGCAGAUGCAAAUGAGGUCCCUUGUCAGUUGUCUUUGAAAUAAUAAAAAAGAAGAUUGUCUUAGAUGGCCCUGCUAAUGUAGCAGGUCAGUUCUUUAAAGGAAGAUUCAAGCUUACUCUGGAAGAACAGACUCCAAGAAGGGAGGCUGUCCUACUGGCUUUGAAGAAGCCACAUUGGGAACUGCCAAUGGAAAGAGGAGUGGCAAUUAGGAGCUAAGGACCUUACCCCUAUGACCACAAGGAACUGAAUUCCAUUGACAACCUGAAUGACCUUGGAAGAAGACCUCAAGAUCUAGACAUGCAGCUUUAAAAUGUCUUCGUUAGCCCAGCCAGCUGCCAUGGAGACUUGAAAACAGAUGACCUAGGAAAGAGAUCUUAUCAAGUGAUUUUUAAUGAAAGUUUCUUUCCUGAAUGCCAAGCAUAGGAGAGAAACUUAUCCUUACAAAACUAGAAGAGGAGACACUACCACAUUGUCUAUUACAACACUCCGGAGAAAGUUGCUUUCAAAACCUGCUACUGAAAUGCUCUGGAGCACGGGUUCAGAAAACUUUCUUACUCGAAAAGCCCUUUCCUGGAAUGUGACUCUGUUAAAAGACUUACCUACUCAGCAUCACAGCUGACACUA